AGCGGAAACGAGAAGUAGCUUGCUACUUCGGCGUCGAGCGGCGGACGGGUGAGUAAUGCCUAGGAAAUUGCCUUGAUGUGGGGGAUAACUAUUGGAAACGAUAGCUAAUACCGCAUAACGCCUACGGGCCAAAGAGGGGGAUCUUCGGACCUCUCGCGUCAAGAUAUGCCUAGGUGGGAUUAGCUAGUUGGUGAGGUAAUGGCUCACCAAGGCAACGAUCCCUAGCUGGUCUGAGAGGAUGAUCAGCCACACUGGAACUGAGACACGGUCCAGACUCCUACGGGAGGCAGCAGUGGGGAAUAUUGCACAAUGGGCGCAAGCCUGAUGCAGCCAUGCCGCGUGUAUGAAGAAGGCCUUCGGGUUGUAAAGUACUUUCAGUCGUGAGGAAGGUUCAUACGUUAAUAGCGUAUGGAUUUGAC
rnacentral:rRNA from 1 species